UACGGAGGGAGCUAGCGUUGUUCGGAAUUACUGGGCGUAAAGCGCGCGUAGGCGGCUUUGUAAGUUAGAGGUGAAAGCCCGGGGCUCAACCCCGGAACUGCCUUUAAGACUGCAUCGCUUGAAUCCAGGAGAGGUGAGUGGAAUUCCGAGUGUAGAGGUGAAAUUCGUAGAUAUUCGCAAGAACACCAGUGGCGAAGGCGGCUCACUGGCCCGGUACUGACGCUGAGGUGCGAAAGCGUGGGGAGCAAACAGG
rnacentral:rRNA from 1 species